UCCCUGGAACCGCUCUCGGUCCACAUCAAAGUCCUGGACUCAGUCUGGUUCCAGAUCUAGGUCCAGAUCCCCCACCACACUGGCCUACAGCAGGGCCCAGAGGUGGAGGGACUGCUGCAGCUCCAACAACAUCAGGGACUCCAGGAAACCAAAGAGACAACAAGAUAUGAGGAAUCAAAAACUAAAAGCCAUAAUGGCCAAGCUGCAAAUUGAAGAUUGGCUAUAUCAUAAACAUCUCUGGAAACCAACA